rnacentral:rRNA from 1 species
UACGAAGGGGGCGAGCGUUGUUCGGAUUUACUGGGCGUAAAGGGUGCGUAGGUGGCAUGGUCAGUCGGAUGUGAAAUCCCGGGGCUCAACCCCGGAACUGCAUUCGAUACUGCCGCGCUAGAGUACUGGAGAGGAGAUUGGAAUUUACGGUGUAGCAGUGAAAUGCGUAGAUAUCGUAAGGAAGACCAGUGGCGAAGGCAGCUCGCUACACUAUGAUUGACACUGAGGCACGAAAGCGUGGGGAUCAAACAGG